rnacentral:tRNA from 1 species
CGGGCUGUAGCGCAGAGGCUAGCGCGCGCCGUUCGGGACGGUGAGGCCGGAGGUUCAAAUCCUCUCAGCCCGA